GGGGCCUGGAAGCUGUGGCCUCGGCCCCUCCGGCUCCAACUGUGGGUGACGCAACAGGCAACGGCCGAGGGCUGGGCCGGGUGGCCGGUGGGGGCCGGCGGGACCCGAGCGAACUCCCCGGCGUCCAGGGAAAGCGCGGGAGGCUCAGCCUGUAGCGUCUCUGUGUCCCUCUGUCUUCCCUCCCGAGUGUGUCCGUGUGGGGCCCCCACCCCCUCAGCCUCAGUUCCCCUUCUGGACAAUGAGCGGGCAGCGAAUGACCUCUUUUGGGUCCAGGCGGGGCCCCUGAACCAAGCUAGGUUCAUGCACCCUGACGUUCCUCUCUGGGCCUCAGCCUCUCCAUCUGCCAAGUGGGUUAAUGGCAACUCGACUAACCUUGGUGGCCAGUCUGGGUUCAACGGUCUAAAAAAUGUGUAAACAGUCCCUGCUGGAAAGAUGGGGGUCACUGUGCAAUCCGCGCCCCUCUGCCCACCUCACCCCGCAUGUUCGCGGGCUUCCUGGUUGGUGCUUCGAGCAGCCGGCGACAGGUGUCCCCCCGCCACACACACUGCUCUCCGCUGUCCCAUGAAGACCCCUCAGGGCAGUGACCCGAGGACUCUGUACCUUCCACACGGCUGUGACUCCCCUGGUGGCCUCCUGCUGGGAACACGGAUUGUUUGCAGCGGGAAGAUGCCUCGUCGCCCGCCCGCCGAGGGGGACGCCCGCACUGUUCUCAGCAGCUUUGUGUCUGUGUCCUCGUCAAAAGACAGGGUCUCCGGGGAGGUUGCUCAGUCUCUCUUGCAAACCAGUGAGGGUCUUUCUACGUGGCGCACAUUAGCCUUCUGUGACUCAAGUGGCAAAGAGUCCAUCACCAGUUUCUCGUGUGUCUUUUGACCUUGCUGUACAAUAUAUUCUCCGCACAAACGAGAGAUGGUCCAGGGGAAUCUGACUUGGGAUCAAAGCUCACACCGGCUGUGUGUCUGCAGGCGAGUUACCCAACCUCUCUGAGCCGUGGCGGCCCCUCCCUCUGUCUGCUGGAGAGAACAGCCCCCGCCUCUCAGGACUGCGAGAGAAUUCAGUGAACACAGGCCCCUCGGGGUGGAGACCACACUGCCAGUUAGCGCCCAUGAACUCCUGCUGCCAGCCCCGCCCGCCCAGCAAAGCAGAAAUCGGUGUCGAGAAGAGGAUGGGCAUCACUUCUUAAUGUUUAUUAGUUAUUUUUUGAGAGAGAGCGAGAGAGAGCAUGAGCAGGGGAGGGACAGAGAGAGGGACACAGAGUCGGAAGCAGGCUCCAGGCUCCGAGCUGUCGGCACAGACCCCGAUGUGGGGCUCAAACCCACAGACUGUGAGAUCCUGACCUGAGCCGCGACGCUUAACUGACCGAGACCCCAGGCGCCUCGGGAAUCACUUAUUAGGGUCACAGCCACGGGGUCAAGGGCAGGGAGGCCCAGUGGUGUGCUGGGCACACGAAGGGCCAAGGAUAUAGGCACAGUGUGGGAGGUGGGGCCAGUGAUGGUCAGCUGGGCCCCAGAGGCGGUCACAGCACCCCCAGGCUUGUCGGCUGUGAUGGGGGCUGAGAACAGAAUCUAGCCUGGGAAGAGACCACUCCAGCGAAGACAUCAGGGCUCCUGCCACAAGGCCCCAGGGAGAAAGAGGCUGUGCCGUGUGCCAGGCCGUUCCAGACAAGAUCCCCACCCCCCAUCUCCCUGGACGGGUAGCAGGAGACUCAGGCCAGCUCCCUGGCUCCACCUCAGAACUACCCACCUGGCAGCUGCUCUGACAACUUGAGCCUUUCUCCUGCAACCCACCAAUCUCGUUCCAACCCCAGGGCGUUUGCACAUGCUGUUCCAUCUCCGCAUGCUUCUCCCCACUCUUUUCCUGAUGAACUCCUACU
ensembl:lncRNA